UUCAUGUCUUUUGUAUUAAAGAAUUAAAUGGAUGAAAUAUGAAAUUUUAUUAAAAAAAAAAGGGGUGAAAAGAACAAAGUUUUGUUCAUCUUUGUUCAUCAUAGCCUAAAGUUAGAGAAGAGAAAGGAGAGGAGAAAGCUCUUGAAUGUUCGGUCACUUGGGGAAGAAAAUUGAAGGAAAUCCCCAACCAUAGUGGGCUUGGAGCUGUGAGGGAAUUCAGAGUGGCCACCCGUUCUGAAAGUUUGAUUUUCUUCUGGUGAACUGGACAUCCUUUUAUUUACGUUUGAAGUUUUGGGUUUUUAAAUGUAAUAAGGCCGCUUAAUUAUUUUUGAUGGUUUUAAUAUGUAUUACUAAGAUAGGUAUUACUUA